rnacentral:rRNA from 1 species
GACGAACGCUGGCGGCGUGCUUAACACAUGCAAGUCGAACGGAAAGGCCCUGCUUUUGUGGGGUUCUCGAGUGGCGAACGGGUGAGUAACACGUGAGUAACCUUCGCUUGACUGGGUGAUAACUGCAGGAAACUGGGGCUAAUACCUGAUAGGAGCGCCUGCUGCUGGGUGGGGGUUGGAAAGUUUCGGCGGUUGGGGAUGGACUCGCGGCUUAUCAGCUUGUUGGUGGGGUAGUGGCUUACCAAGGCUUUGACGGGUAGCCGGCCUGGGAGGGUGACCGGCCACAUUGGGACUGAGAUACGGCCCAGACUCCUACGGGAGGCAGCAGUGGGGAAUAUUGCACAAUGGGCGGAAGCCUGAUGCAGCAACGCCGCGUGCGGGAUGACGGCCUUCGGGUUGUAAACCGCUUUCGCCUGUGACGAAGCGUGAGUGACGGUAAUGGGUAAAGAAGCACCGGCUAACUACGUG